AGACACUCCUGUGAUGUGGCUGUGACAUUCAUUGCUCAGUGCCUGCUGAUUUGGUCUGUCUGGUGGCUAUCCUUUUCCUCCUCUACCUUCCUCGCCCCCACCCCAUCCAGCACUAAGUGGAACAGGAUGAGCUUCCUGUCUAGAGGAGAAUUGUUUUGUUAAAGGUAUGUGAGUAGCUUCUAGUUCUCCAAUGAAAGUCUUUAAAAAAAUUUUAAGAAGUAUUUCAAAUGUAUAUGUAAUGAAUCCUCAUAUACCAUAAACAAAUUCAUUACUAGUUUGCUAUAUUUAU
rnacentral:snRNA from 1 species